UACGAGAGGCCCAAACGUUAUUCGGAAUUACUGGGCUUAAAGAGUUCGUAGGCGGCAUGAAAAGUAGGGUGUGAAAGCCCUCGGCUCAACCGAGGAAUUGCGCUCUAAACUGUCGUGCUCGAGGAAUCUAGAGGUGAGCGGAACUGAUGGUGGAGCGGUGAAAUGCGUUGAUAUCAUCAGGAACACCGGAGGCGAAGGCGGCUUUCUGGACGACAACUGACGCUGAGACGCGAAAGCGUGGGGAGCAAACAGG
rnacentral:rRNA from 1 species